UGUUGGCUGGAAUGAUGAUUCAAUUAGAUGUAUGAGGUAACCUUAUGAGUUAAAACCUUUUGAGGCAUAAAUUCUUUCUGACCCAGCCUAUC